CAAAACAACAUGCUAUUUUGUCAAAUGUCACUGAGUCAUAUUCAGUUGUUUGAUAUGGAUGCUCAAGAUCCUUAGCAGCAGAAGAUCCAUAGGAAGUCUAUCUCUUGGCGGGGGAAGAGGGUUUACAGUGAUGCUUCGGAAAAAUCAUUUCUAUUUUUCUGAGUUCCAGCAAGUGUCCAUUCAAGUGCUCCUUGACCUCCAUGACAGUAGUUGUAACAUGGGACUUAGAGGUGGUCUGGUAUAA
rnacentral:lncRNA from 1 species